rnacentral:lncRNA from 10 species
GGAUUACAGGCAUGCGCCACCGCGCCCGGUCCCAACAGAACUUUUCUACAGUGAUGGAAAUGGACUAAAUCUACACUAUCUAAUAUGGUAGCCAUCAACCACAUGCAGCUCUCGAGCACUUUGAAAUGCAGGUGGUACAAGUAAGGAACUUUUUAUUUUAAUGAAAUUAAAUAGCCACAUGUGAGGUGAUGCUUUUAUAUUAGACAGUGCAGGAGACCUUAAUCCCUACUGGUAAGAGUAAUAGGAGGGAUCAGGACUAGGUUUGUCCUCUUCCAGCCACACAUUGGCAUCAUGUUUUCUGCACUGACCAUUCACACAUAUUUGAGCAAAAAAAACUCCAGCAGUGAUCCCACACUUGUUUUAAUUACAAUAGAAUAAGUUAACCAAGAAACAAGUUGGAAAAUGGAAGGCCCCUCCCAGGUUUGCACCCAGAGGCAGGGAGAGGUAGACCCUCACCAGAAAGACCUCCAGUAAUAACACAGAUAGCCACCUACUGAUUCUGGAUCAGAAAAGCAAAAGCAGCUGUCAGGACUUUUGAAAAUCAGCAUGACAAGCCAUAUCCCCAACUGUAAGCCUGGAGCCAGGCACUGACAAAGUCACAGCUAAAAAUCACAUCUAGGUUUUGUCAAUCCUUCCCAAGUAAGUACAUUGAUAGGGUACCUCGGGCUCCCCCAGUUGUCAGAAGAGGUCUGUACCUUCUCUGUGAAGAUCUACCAUUCAAAUAACCCUUACACAUCCUUGGAGGAGGUAUUAGACUAGUUAGGCAAUCAGGCUGGUGGGAGGGUGGGGAUCAAGAAAAGCAGAGGCAAACAGGACCAAACUUUCCUAGCUGAAAUAUCAAUUCAUUGAGGCGGUAGGCCCAUAAAAGCAGAACCAAUAGCCUUUGACACCUAAAAAAAAGUAGCACACCACCAAAGGUGUAAAAAGUACAAAAAGAUUAAAGGUAUGAAAACAGCAAAGAACGGCCAUUUUAAUGGAAGACACUGGGGACAUGGAGGGCCAGGGGACUGAUAUGCACCGGAGGCAUUAUUUCUUACUUUACUCAACACUCUUGGGAAGUCAAAGUCUUCACAACACUUUAGUCUCUGCCUCUACACUCCUUCUCAAUUCUUACAUCAUUAGGAAUGAGGGGCUUCCUUUCUUCUCCUGAAACCCCAUCAUCUUUGAA